AAUAGAUACCCCGGUAGUCCACACCGUAAACGUUGGGCGCUAGGUGUGGGACCUAUUCCAUGGGUUCCGUGCCGUAGCUAACGCAUUAAACGCCCCGCCUGGGGAGUACGGCCGCAAGGCUAAAACUCAAAGGAAUUGACGGGGGGCCCGCACAAGCGGCGGAGCAUGCGGAUUAAUUCGAUGCAACGCGAAGAACCUUACCUGGGUUUGACAUACACCGGAAGCCUGCAGAGAUGUGGGUCUCUUUGAUACUGGUGUACAGGUGGUGCAUGGCUGUCGUCAGCUCGUGUCGUGAGAUGUUGGGUUAAGUCCCGCAACGAGCGCAACCCUCGUUCCAUGUUGCCAGCGGGUUAUGCCGGGGACUCAUGGGAGACUGCCGGGGUCAACUCGGAGGAAGGUGGGGAUGACGUCAAGUCAUCAUGCCCCUUAUGUCCAGGGCUUCACGCAUGCUACAAUGGCCGGUACAAAGGGCUGCGAUCCCGUGAGGGGGAGCGAAUCCCAAAAAGCCGGUCUCAGUUCGGAUUGGGGUCUGCAACUCG
rnacentral:rRNA from 1 species